rnacentral:rRNA from 1 species
AUUGAACGCUGGCGGCAGGCCUAACACAUGCAAGUCGAACGGUAACAGGAAGCAGCUUGCUGCUUCGCUGACGAGUGGCGGACGGGUGAGUAAUGUCUGGGAAGCUGCCUGAUGGAGGGGGAUAACUACUGGAAACGGUAGCUAAUACCGCAUAAUGUCGCAAGACCAAAGAGGGGGACCUUCGGGCCUCUUGCCAUCGGCUGUGCCCAGAUGGGAUUAGCUUGUUGGUGGGGUAACGGCUCACCAAGGCGACGAUCCCUAGCUGGUCUGAGAGGAUGACCAGCCACACUGGAACUGAGACACGGUCCAGACUCCUACGGGAGGCAGCAGUGGGGAAUAUUGCACAAUGGGCGCAAGCCUGAUGCAGCCAUGCCGCGUGUAUGAAGAAGGCCUUCGGGUUGUAAAGUACUUUCAGCGGGGAGGAAGGGAGUAAAGUUAAUACCUUUGCUCAUUGACGUUACCCGAAGAAGAAGCACCGGCUAACUCCGCG